UGAGGAAUAUUGGUCAAUGGGCGGAAGCCUGAACCAGCCAAGUCGCGUGAGGGAAGACGGCCCUAAGGGUUGUAAACCUCUUUUGCCGGGGAGCAAAAGCGCCGUGCGCGGUGCUAUGAGAGUACCCGGAGAAAAAGCAUCGGCUAACUCCGUGCCAGCAGCCGCGGUAAUACGGAGGAUGCGAGCGUUAUCCGGAUUUAUUGGGUUUAAAGGGUGCGUAGGCGGGGCAUCAAGUCAGUGGUGAAAUGGUGUGGCUCAACCAUAGCAUUGCCGUUGAAACUGAUACCCUUGAGUGCAGUAGAGGUAUGCGGAAUGUGUUGUGUAGCGGUGAAAUGCAUAGAUAUGACACAGAACACCGAUUGCGAAGGCAGCAUACUGGACUGUAACUGACGCUGAAGCACGAAAGCGUGGGGAUCGAACAGGAUUAGAUACCCUGGUAGU
rnacentral:rRNA from 1 species